rnacentral:pre_miRNA from 1 species
GUAAUACUCCCUCCGUUCAGAAUUAUUUGUCGCAGAAAUGGAUGUAUCUAGACGUAUUUUAGUUUUAGAUACAUCCAUUUCCGAGACAAGUAAUUCCGAACGGAGGGAGUACAAG